UACGUAGGGACCGAGCGUUGUCCGGAAUCAUUGGGCGUAAAGAGCGUGUAGGCGGCCUGCUAAGUCCUGCGUGAAAUCUCGGGGCUCAACCCCGAGCGGUCGUGGGAAACUGGCAGGCUAGAGUGCGGGAGAGGAGAGUGGAAUUCCUGGUGUAGCGGUGAAAUGCGCAGAUAUCAGGAAGAACACCCGUGGCGAAGGCGGCUCUCUGGAACGCAA
rnacentral:rRNA from 1 species